UACGUAGGGAGCAAGCGUUGUCCGGAAUCAUUGGGCGUAAAGCGCGCGUAGGCGGCCCGAUAAGUCCGCUGUGAAAGUCAACGGCUCAACUGUUGGAUGCCGGUGGAUACUGUCGGGCUAGAGUACGGAAGAGGCAAGUGGAAUUCCUGGUGUAGCGGCGGAAUGCGCAGAUAUCAGGAGGAACACCUAUAGCGAAGGCAGCUUGCUGGGACGUUACUGACGCUAAGGCGCGAAAGCGUGGGGAGCAAACAGG
rnacentral:rRNA from 1 species